AGCGAACGCUGGCGGCAGGCUUAACACAUGCAAGUCGAACGCCCCGCAAGGGGAGUGGCAGACGGGUGAGUAACACGUGGGAACGUACCCUUUGGUUCGGAAUAACUUGGGGAAACUCAAGCUAAUACCGGAUAAGCCCUUAUGGGGAAAGGUUUACUGCCGAAGGAUCGGCCCGCGUCUGAUUAGCUAGGUGGUGAGGUAAUGGCUCACCAAGGCGACGAUCAGUAGCUGGUCUGAGAGGAGGAUCAGCCACACUGGGACUGAGACACGGCCCAGACUCCUACGGGAGGCAGCAGUGGGGAAUAUUGGACAAUGGGGGCAACCCUGCUCCAGCCAUGCCGCGUGAGUGAUGAAGGCCUUAGGGUUGUAAAGCUCUUUUACCCGGGACGAUAAUGACUGUACCGGGAGAAUAAGCCCCGGCUAACUUCGUGCCAGCCGCCGCCGUAA
rnacentral:rRNA from 1 species